GACGAACGCUGGCGGCGUGCUUAACACAUGCAAGUCGUACGGUAAGGCCCUUUCGGGGGUACACGAGUGGCGAACGGGUGAGUAACACGUGAGUAACCUGCCCACAACUUUGGGAUAACGCUAGGAAACUGGUGCUAAUACUGGAUAUGUGCUCCUGCUGCAUGGUGGGGGUUGGAAAGCUCCGGCGGUUGUGGAUGGACUCGCGGCCUAUCAGCUUGUUGGUGGGGUAGUGGCCUACCAAGGCGGCGACGGGUAGCCGGCCUGAGAGGGUGACCGGCCACAUUGGGACUGAGAUACGGCCCAGACUCCUACGGGAGGCAGCAGUGGGGAAUAUUGCACAAUGGGCGCAAGCCUGAUGCAGCAACGCCGCGGGCGGGAUGACGGCCUUCGGGUUGGAAACCGCUUUCAGCAGGGACGAAGCUUUUUGUGACGGUACCUGCAGAAGAAGCACCGGCUAACUACGUG
rnacentral:rRNA from 1 species